GCUGUUCGCCAUUUAAAGUGGUACGUGAGCUGGGUUUAAAACGUCGUGAGACAGUUUGGUCCCUAUCUGCCGUGGGCGUUGGAAAUUUGAAGGGGGCUGCUCCUAGUACGAGAGGACCGGAGUGGACAGACCUCUGGUGUACCGGUUGUCACGCCAGUGGCAUUGCCGGGUAGCUAAGUCUGGAAGAGAUAACCGCUGAAAGCAUCUAAGCGGGAAACUUGCCUUAAGAUGAGAUUUCCCAGAGCCUUGAGCUCUUUGAAGGGUCGUUCGAGACCAGGACGUUGAUAGGUCAGGUGUGGAAGUGCAGU
rnacentral:rRNA from 1 species